AACGAACGCUGGCGGCAGGCUUAACACAUGCAAGUCGAGCGCCCCGCAAGGGGAGCGGCAGACGGGUGAGUAACGCGUGGGAAUCUACCCAUCUCUACGGAAUAACGCAUGGAAACGUGUGCUAAUACCGCAUACGUCCUUCGGGAGAAAGAUUUAUCGGAGAUGGAUGAGCCCGCGUUGGAUUAGCUAGUUGGUGGGGUAAAGGCCUACCAAGGCGACGAUCCAUAGCUGGUCUGAGAGGAUGUUCAGCCACACUGGGACUGAGACACGGCUCAGACUCCUACGGGAGGCAGCAGUGGGGAAUAUUGGACAAUGGGCGCAAGCCUGAUCCAGCCAUGCCGCGUGAGUGAUGAAGGCCCUAGGGUUGUAAAGCUCUUUCACCGGUGAAGAUAAUGACGGUAACCGGAGAAGAAGCCCCGGCUAACUUCGUGCCAGCAGCCGCCGUAAGAC
rnacentral:rRNA from 1 species